GACGAACGCUGGCGGCGCGCCUAACACAUGCAAGUCGAACGUGAAGCUCGGAGCUUGCUCCGGGUGGAAAGUGGCGAACGGGUGAGUAACACGUGAGGAACCUGCCCCGAAGACCGGGAUAACACCGGGAAACCGGUGCUAAUACCGGAUGUCCUCACCGGACCGCAUGAUCCGGUGAGGAAAUGGAUUCCGCUUCGGGAUGGUCUCGCGGCCUAUCAGCUUGUUGGUGGGUAAUGGCCUACCAAGGCUUCGACGGGUAGCUGGUCUGAGAGGAUGUCCAGCCACACUGGGACUGAGACACGGCCCAGACUCCUACGGGUGGCAG
rnacentral:rRNA from 1 species